GAUGAACGCUAGCGGGAGGCCUAACACAUGCAAGCCGAGCGGUAUUGUUUCUUCGGAAAUGAGAGAGCGGCGUACGGGUGCGGAACACGUGUGCAACCUGCCUUUAUCUGGGGGAUAGCCUUUCGAAAGGAAGAUUAAUACUCCAUAAUAUAUUGAACGGCAUCGUUUAAUAUUGAAAGCUCCGGCGGAUAGAGAUGGGCACGCGCAAGAUUAGCUAGUUGGUGAGGAACGGCUCACCAAGGCGAUGAUCUUUAGGGGGCCUGAGAGGGUGAUCCCCCACACUGGUACUGAGACACGGACCAGACUCCUACGGGAGGCAGCAGUGAGGAAUAUUGGUCAAUGGGUGCAAGCCUGAACCAGCCACUCCCGCGUGAAGGACGACUGCCCUAUGGGUUGUAAACUUUCUUUUGUAUAGGGAUAAACCUACCCUCGUGAGGGUAGCUGAAGGUACUAUACGAAUAAGCACC
rnacentral:rRNA from 1 species